rnacentral:rRNA from 1 species
GACGGAGGGUGCAAGCGUUGUUCGGAUUGACUGGGCGUAAAGGGCGCGUAGGCGGUGUGUCAAGUCAGGCGUGAAAGCCCCGGGCUCAACCUGGGAACCGCGCUUGAGACUGGCACGCUAGAGUUCGGGAGAGGAUGGUGGAAUUCCCAGUGUAGAGGUGAAAUUCGUAGAUAUUGGGAAGAACACCGAUGGCGAAGGCAGCCAUCUGGGACCGACACUGACGCUGAGGCGCGAAAGCGUGGGGAGCAAACAGGG